UCUAAGCAUGUGACUUGGGUUCACUCCUGCUUCCUGAAAAGGGGAUGCUCACUCCACCAGGCUCCUGAUCCAAACAGCUCAGCAUUUUGGGGGAGGUCUGGGCACAGGAGGAGCUCUGCAGCUAUUGGCCAGCCAGUUUAAGGGUAGUGGAUUUGUGAUUACCCUCCAUCUAAGCAAAAAGCAAUCCCGCUUCUCCUUCUGGAAAAGGAGGGUAAGCAAAUGAAGCAGGUUCCACCGCAGGAGUCUAUGCCAGGGACCCUCAAUUCAGAAAUGGAUGAUAAACCUCUUCCUCCCAAGGAUCACAUCCCCAAGGAUCACGUCCAGUUUCUGCCCAAAAGGAAAAAGAAAAAGAAAAAGAACGAAGCAGUAACAGAACGCAGCGAAAAUCUGGGGAAAUGUCUUCGUUAGCUGUUAGCGAAACCGGAUUGUAGACACGAUGAAAGGAACCUACACGAAGACAAUUAGACUAAAUUAUGUCCAGUUACAGAAGACAAGUUAACAGUGAAAUGUGGGGCAGUCCGACUCCAGCCAGGCUCAGGGUCUGGCUUACCCCACUGCUGUCACUCAUACAUCACAGAUCAAGGGCAGCCCCUGUAGGCUGUUUUAAACGAGGGCCAGCAGGAGGUUGGGCUAAUGAGUAAAAUCUGAACAUUCCUCAAAUUUCCCAUCCAUCCCGGGCGAAGGGGAGGGCUGGGGGGAGCUGAAACAAAGCGUCUCUUUCUGGAGUGGUUUGGGUCCUAGCAGGGACAAAAUGCUUUUUGCUGAUACUACUGGGGAGGGUGUGUAGAGUGGGCUUAAAGAAUUCCAGGGCCAGAUCCUCAGUGAGUUUGGCAUAGCUAAUCCAGCAUUGGUUGGUACUGCUUUGAAAUGAAAAUAUUCUGGAGGGAAGGGGAGAUGAAAAGCUCCCCCGCACAGGUAUCCCCGGCCCUCCAUCAUGACUGUAAUGAAACUGAGCAAAUAAUUAAGAGGCAAUAUGGUUGCUCCCUAUGGCUGCAGCCGUGUCCCCUGGGGAUGGAAGGUAUAUCAACCAAGGCUUUCUUGUCUGAGUAACCCUGGAAACUAGCCCUGGCGUAUCAAAAACUGAGGCUACUGUGGAUCCCAAGCAGAGGCAAAGGGCUAUUCGGGGCAAUAUCAGGCCUUUUCAGCAUCCCUGAAAGCGGCCCCGGACCCCUACUAGGGCAUUAUUCGUCUGAACAUGACUUACUCCAGGGAGAGAUUUGUUCAAAGCCAGAGCCUGAGCCAUGACCAAACCAAUAAA